rnacentral:rRNA from 1 species
AUUGAACGCUGGCGGCAUGCCUUACACAUGCAAGUCGAACGGCAGCGGGGACUUCGGUCCGCCGGCGAGUGGCGAACGGGUGAGUAAAGUAUCGGAACGUACCUUUCAGUGGGGGAUAACGUAGCGAAAGUUACGCUAAUACCGCAUAUUCUGUGAGCAGGAAAGCAGGGGAUCGCAAGACCUUGCGCUGAUUGAGCGGCCGAUAUCAGAUUAGCUAGUUGGUGAGGUAAAGGCUCACCAAGGCGACGAUCUGUAGCGGGUCUGAGAGGAUGAUCCGCCACACUGGAACUGAGACACGGUCCAGACUCCUACGGGAGGCAGCAGUGGGGAAUUUUGGACAAUGGGGGCAACCCUGAUCCAGCCAUGCCGCGUGAGUGAAGAAGGCCUCGGUU